rnacentral:rRNA from 1 species
UACGGGGGGUGCGAGCGUUGUCCGGAAUCACUGGGCGUAAAGGGCGCGUAGGCGGUUUGGUAAGGCUGUGGUGAAAGCCCGGGGCUCAACCCCGGGUCUGCCGUGGCGACUGUCAGACUUGAGGGCUCGAGAGGCAGACGGAAUUCCGGGUGUAGCGGUGGAAUGCGUAGAGAUCCGGAAGAACACCGGUGGCGAUGGCGGCUCUCUGGACCGUAACUGACGCUGAGGCGCGAAAGCGUGGAGAGCAAACAGG